rnacentral:rRNA from 1 species
AUAGCGGAGAAAAGAAACUAACAAGGAUUUCCCCUAGUAACGGCGAGUGAAGCGGGAUGAGCUCAAAUUUAAAAUCUGGCUGGUUUACUAGUCCGAAUUGUAGUUUAAAGAAGCGUUUUCGGUGGCAGUCUCGGUAUAAAUCCUUUGGAAUAGAGUAUCAUAGAGGGUGAGAAUCCCGUCUUUGACUGAGAAUUUGCUACUAUGUGAUACGUUUUCAAAGAGUCGAGUUGUUUGGGAAUGCAGCUCAAAAUGGGUGGUAAAUUUCAUCUAAAGCUAAAUAUUGGCGAGAGACCGAUAGCGAACAAGUACCGUGAGAGAAAGAUGAAAAGAACUUUGAAAAGAGAGUUAAACAGUGCGUGAAAUUGUUGAAAGGGAAACGCUUGAAACCAGUCAUGUAGUUGGAAAAUCAGUGUUCAAUUGGGGGGAAUGGGAGAGGUGUGGACCGCAAGGCUGCUCUUUUCUAUAUCUCUUUUGUUGAGCAUGCACUUUUCUUUCCGCAGGUCAACAUCAGUUUCUUCUGCUGGACAAAACUCUUGAGAAGGUAGCAGCUUUGGCUGUGUUAUAGCUCUGGAGCGAUACAGUGGAGGGGACUGAGGUUUUCGCAGCAUGUGCUCUCGGGCAAGGCCAACUGGGUGCUAUGGGAUCGUUCGGGGUACAAUACAUGUAUUUUGCUUCGUGUCUUUUCUAUACUCGUUCAAUUGAGCUCUUCCAUGCUUAGGAUGUUGACUUAAUGGUUUUAAUCGACCCGUCUUGAAACACGGACCAAGGAGUCUAACAUAUAUGCAAGUGUUUGGGUGGCAAACCCAUGCGCGUAAUGAAAGUGAACGUAGGUGCCAUCCGCAAGGUGCAGCAUCGACCGAUCUUGAUAUUUUUGGAUAGAUUUGAGUAAGAGCAUAUAUGCUGGGACCCGAAAGAUGGUGAACUAUGCCUGAAUAGGGUGAAGCCAGAGGAAACUCUGGUGGAGGCUCGUAGCGAUUCUGACGUGCAAAUCGAUCGUCAAAUUUGGGUAUAGGGGCGAAAGACUAAUCGAACCAUCAGGGGUGGCAC